rnacentral:rRNA from 1 species
AACGAACGCUGGCGGCAUGCCUAACACAUGCAAGUCGAACGAAACCUUCGUGUCGAGUGUCGCACGGGUGCGUAACGCGUGGUAACCAGCGCUGAGUUUCGGAAUGACUCCCCGAAAGGUGGCCGAAUACCGGAUAAUGUCUUGAUACCAAAGAUUGAUCGCCUUUGGAUGGUCCCGGGUUAGAUUAUCAAGUUGGUAGUUGAAAAGCCAACCAAGGCGACGAUGCAUAGCUGGUCUGAGAGGAUGAUCAGGCACACUGGGACUGAGACACGGCGCAGACUUCUACGGGAGGCAGCAGUGGGGAAUAUUGGACACUGGGCGAGAGCCUGAUCCAGCAAUGUCGCGUGAGUGUUGAAGGACUUAGGGUUGUAAAGCUCUUUUACCCGGGAUGAUAAUGACAGUACCGUGCGAAUAAGGUCCGGCUAACUCCGUG